UACGGGGGGGGCAAGCGUUGUUCGGAAUUACUGGGCGUAAAGGGCGCGGAGGUGGCCAACUAAGUCAGACGUGAAAUCCCUCGGCUUAACCGGGGAACUGCGUCUGAUACUGGAUGGCUUGAGUUUGGGAGAGGGACGCGGAAUUCCAGGUGUAGCGGUGAAAUGCGUAGAUAUCUGGAGGAACACCGGUGGCGAAGGCGGCGUCCUGGACCAACACUGACACUGAGGAGCGAAAGCCAGGGGAGCAAACGGG
rnacentral:rRNA from 1 species